UAAUAAUAAUAAUAAUAAAGGGGAGAAAUGUUACUCAUAUUUUGAGUCAGUACAUGGUACAAUCCCACAACAUUCACCUAUGAAAACAUGUUUAAGCCACGUUUGCAGGCUUGCAGCCAUUAAUUCAAAAAAGGGGGGCAUUGCCCUCCAAAGCAGAUAAUCACGGUGUGAUUCCUUCACUAUCUCAAAUUGUAAGCAAUUUAGGGCACUAAACUUCACAACUUAUUCUCACUUUUAAAAUGUAAAGUUUGCGAACCCCAGUUCAUGGACAAGCUAGGGCACUUAUAUUUGUGGGUUAUUCUUGCAUUUUUUAAGUAUACUGUUUGCUGUAUGACAUCGCCUGUGAAAAUCCCUAACAGAAACUACAUUUCAUCAAGUUAACCAUCCAACUUAGAACAUAAUGCAAGUUCAUGGACCCAAAACUAAUUGAAAGGCUCAAGCUUUUGCCAAGUCUUCAAAGAAGAGCUUGUAAAAGGAAAUUAAGUUGAAAUGAACUUCCAAAACAUGAAAAUAUAUGUAGAACUCAAAAAUAGGAAGACAAAGGCAGCAUUAUCUAAAUAGUUAAGAAUUGCCUCUUGCAAUAUUCAUAUCUAUAAAUGUUGAAUUCAUAUGGCUUUUCAAAAUAUAUUCAGUCAGAGUGUCAUCAAUCCAGAGUAGAAAGAGAAUUACGUCACCCACAAAGAAAAAGCUAAGAGCCA
rnacentral:misc_RNA from 1 species